UACGGAGGGUGCGAGCGUUGUCCGGAAUCAUUGGGCGUAAAGAGCGCGUCGGCGGUCCGGUAAGUCCGCUCUGAAAGUCCGGGGCUCAACCCCGGGAGGCGGGCGGAUACUGUCGGGCUAGAGUCCGGAAGAGGCGAGUGGAAUUCCUGGUGUAGCGGUGAAAUGCGCAGAUAUCAGGAGGAACACCAAUGGCGAAGGCAGCUCGCUGGGACGGUACUGACGCUGAGGCGCGAAAGCGUGGGUAGCAAACAGG
rnacentral:rRNA from 1 species